UACGUAAUAGUAUAAUUCAGAAUUGUUUGUUCACACCGAUUGUGCGUAAGUUACGUCACAGAGUAUAAUUCAUUUAUGCGUGUUCACACUGGCGAAUUCGAUAAUAUGAAAUUUUAUAUUUUAUAAAAUAUAAUAAAAGUUUCCACUGCAAUUUAAAUAUUUGAUUUAAUUCGCCCAUAAGUUUCGAUGGCCUGAAAAAAGUCAAGAAGGUUCAAAUAUUAGCCAACCUUUGCUCAUACCCAGACAUUUAUAUCAACAUUUAUAACUAAAAUCGGCAGGAAUAGCUAUUAUUAACAUUACCUUUGACUUCGUUAAAUCAAAAUUAGUUGUUCACGUCCAAACUACUCAUUAAUUUUAAUCCCAAAAGUUGAAGUCCAAAUAUCAAAAUAUCGACUUAUGUAAGCUAAUGCCAAUCAAUCGGUCCAUAAAGUUGACCCGAAUUAGUUUUUACUUGCGGGUUAUUAACCAAUCAGUUACGCUUUAACUGAUUAAAAAGUCAACACCUUUUCAGUAAAUGCGCCAUAACAAAUUCUGAUCAUAUUGAUUAAUCUUCAACUAGCUUUGAGAUCUGUUAUAAAUAAAAUCGUAUUUGAUGUCAGUUCUAAUAACCAGUAACAUAAUUUUUACCGCAGCCACGCCCGUUAUAACUAACUGAAAACAAUAAACAGAGUUAAUUUGCAAUAUUGUGAGUAGAAAUGGAUCGAAUGUUUUCGUUUUCGAUUCGAAAAUUUGUCCUCUGCAAAACAAACCAAUUACUCGACUAUGUUGAAGUGCAAUUAGUACCACCUGGUGACGAGCCGGAUUCGAACCCGGAUCUUGAGUGUCAGGACGCAGCGUCAUCAUCGACAAUUUCUACCCCGGAAAAGGAAAUCGUUUAUACCUCACAAAUACCCGGACUUAAUUUAAGCGAAUCCAGUUCUCAAAUAGCUGCUAAAAAUAGUCAAUCUAGUCAUAGAUUUUCAACCAAUCAGCAUUCAGGAAAGAUUUCACAAGUACCAACAAAUGAGGCAAUCAGUUGCCACUGUGGCCAUGAGAACUGUCUGUCAGGAGUUACAGUUGCGAAGACACGUAAGAUGAAGUAUAGUUUGAGUUCUCGGUUCAGACGGCCGAAUAGUGUAGUUGGCAUAACUGAGGAGACGAGAAGCGCCGACGAGAUGGAUUCGGAUUCCGACUCGGCUUAUUCGCAGUAUUCAACUAAGUCCUGUCCGACCGACAAAUCUUCACAAUCUGGAAGCAGACGAAAAAACGUCUCUUUUAAUCUCGAACCCCAAAUUGUACUUUUCAAAUGCGACUCUAACACCACAGUACUCGAUGACGUCAGAACACUCUCUCUACCUUCCUUAUUUGGAAGUCCCAAAAUGAAGAUUAUGAUCCAGACCAGGAGACCCUCAAGAAGCUUAUCACUCGACCGAAACAACAAUGAGCCGAUAUAUGGCUCGGGCAGUCAGAAACGAAGCGAACUCAGUCGAAUCAUCCGAUACGACUAGCUUCUACUUAGAAUUCCUCAGCUUUAGUUUCUGUUAAAACUGGAAGUUUCAACAAAUUUAUGCGAAACCUUCCAUUAAACUGAAUGAUUUUUAUUGUGGUGAUUUUUUAUGUUUAGAACUUUUAUUUUUGCUCUUUAGCUGCGAUUAGUUGCAAUUUAUUGUAGUUCAUUGCGUUUAAAAAAUUUAGUUGAAAUUUAUUUUGUUUGGUAAGUAUCUGAAUUCGACAAAUUCCUGCCCUC